AUGAACGCUAGCUACAGGCUUAACACAUGCAAGUCGAGGGGCAUCAGGAAGAAAGCUUGCUUUCUUUGCUGGCGACCGGCGCACGGGUGAGUAACACGUAUCCAACCUGCCCUUUACUCGGGGAUAGCCUUUCGAAAGAAAGAUUAAUACCCGAUAGCAUAAUGAUUCCGCAUGGUUUCAUUAUUAAAGGAUUCCGGUAAAGGAUGGGGAUGCGUUCCAUUAGGUUGUUGGUGAGGUAACGGCUCACCAAGCCUUCGAUGGAUAGGGGUUCUGAGAGGAAGGUCCCCCACAUUGGAACUGAGACACGGUCCAAACUCCUACGGGAGGCAGCAGUGAGGAAUAUUGGUCAAUGGGCGCUAGCCUGAACCAGCCAAGUAGCGUGAAGGAUGAAGGCUCUAUGGGUCGUAAACUUCUUUUAUAUAAGAAUAAAGUGCAGUAUGUAUACUGUUUUGUAUGUAUUAUAUGAAUAAGGAUCGGCUAACUCCGUGCCAGCAGCCGCGGUAAUACGGAGGAUCCGAGCGUUAUCCGGAUUUAUUGGGUUUAAAGGGAGCGUAGGUGGACUGGUAAGUCAGUUGUGAAAGUUUGCGGCUCAACCGUAAAAUUGCAGUUGAUACUGUCAGUCUUGAGUACAGUAGAGGUGGGCGGAAUUCGUGGUGUAGCGGUGAAAUGCUUAGAUAUCACGAAGAACUCCGAUUGCGAAGGCAGCUCACUGGACUGCAACUGACACUGAUGCUCGAAAGUGUGGGUAUCAAACAGGAUUAGAUACCCUGGUAGUCCACACAGUAAACGAUGAAUACUCGCUGUUUGCGAUAUACAGUAAGCGGCCAAGCGAAAGCAUUAAGUAUUCCACCUGGGGAGUACGCCGGCAACGGUGAAACUCAAAGGAAUUGACGGGGGCCCGCACAAGCGGAGGAACAUGUGGUUUAAUUCGAUGAUACGCGAGGAACCUUACCCGGGCUUGAAAGUUAGCGACGGAUCUGGAAACAGGUCUUCCCUUCGGGGCGCGAAACUAGGUGCUGCAUGGUUGUCGUCAGCUCGUGCCGUGAGGUGUCGGCUUAAGUGCCAUAACGAGCGCAACCCUUAUCUUUAGUUACUAACAGGUCAUGCUGAGGACUCUGGAGAGACUGCCGUCGUAAGAUGUGAGGAAGGUGGGGAUGACGUCAAAUCAGCACGGCCCUUACGUCCGGGGCUACACACGUGUUACAAUGGGGGGUACAGAAGGCAGCUAGCGGGUGACCGUAUGCUAAUCCCAAAAUCCUCUCUCAGUUCGGAUCGAAGUCUGCAACCCGACUUCGUGAAGCUGGAUUCGCUAGUAAUCGCGCAUCAGCCACGGCGCGGUGAAUACGUUCCCGGGCCUUGUACACACCGCCCGUCAAGCCAUGGGAGCCGGGGGUACCUGAAGUACGUAACCGCAAGGAUCGUCCUAGGGUAAAACUGGUGACUGGGGCU
rnacentral:rRNA from 1 species